rnacentral:pre_miRNA from 1 species
AAUGUACUCCCUCCGUUACAUAAUUUUUGUCAAAAUCUUACGUGUAUCUAGACACUUUUUAGUAAUAGAUACAUCCAUUUUUGGACAAAUUGAGACAAGAAUUAUGGAACGGAGGGAGUAACUG